rnacentral:tRNA from 1 species
CGGGGCGUGGCGCAGCCCGGUUAGCGCGCCUGCUUUGGGAGCAGGAGGUCGUCAGUUCGAAUCUGACCGCCCCGA